CCAGAUAGCCAUACUCAAAAUGGAGGCACUCUCCAGCCUUGUGAAAGGGAAAGUGACCCCAUUUUGAGUGUUGCUGUGUGG
rnacentral:pre_miRNA from 1 species